CCUACGGGUGGCAGCAGUGAGGAAUAUUGGUCAAUGGGCGCGAGCCUGAACCAGCCAAGCCGCGUGAAGGAUGACUGCCCUACGGGUUGUAAACUUCUUUUGUAAAGGAAUAAAGUCAGGCACGUGUGCCUGUUUGUGUGUACUUUAUGAAUAAGGAUCGGCUAACUCCGUGCCAGCAGCCGCGGUAAUACGGAGGAUCCGAGCGUUAUCCGGAUUUAUUGGGUUUAAAGGGAGCGUAGAUGGGUUGUUAAGUCAGUUGUGAAAGUCUGGGGCUCAACCGUAAAAUUGCAAUUGAUACUGGCAGUCUUGAGUACAGUAGAGGUAGGCGGAAUUCGUGGUGUAGCGGUGAAAUGCUUAGAUAUCACGAAGAACUCCGAUUGCGAAGGCAGUAUACUAAACUGCCACUGACAUUGAGGCUCGAAAGUGUGGGUAUCAAACAGGAUUAGAUACCCGUGUAGUC
rnacentral:rRNA from 1 species